ACUCCUACGGGAGGCAGCAGUGGGGAAUUUUGGACAAUGGGGGCAACCCUGAUCCAGCCAUUCCGCGUGAGUGAAGAAGGCCUUCGGGUUGUAAAGCUCUUUCAGCCGGAAAGAAAUUGCUUCUAUUAAUACUAGGAGUAGAUGACGGUACCGGAAGAAGAAGCACCGGCUAACUACGUGCCAGCAGCCGCGGUAAUACGUAGGGUGCAGGCGUUAAUCGGAAUUACUGGGCGUAAAGCGUGCGCAGGCGGUUUCUUAAGUCAGAUGUGAAAGCCCCGGGCUUAACCUGGGAACUGCGUUUGAAACUGGGAGACUCGAGUAUGUCAGAGGGGGGUGGAAUUCCACGUGUAGCAGUGAAAUGCGUAGAGAUGUGGAGGAACACCGAUGGCGAAGGCAGCCCCCUGGGAUAAUACUGACGCUCAUGCACGAAAGCGUGGGGAGCAAACAGGAUUAGAUACCCUGGUAGUCCACGCCCUAAACGAUGUCAACUGGUUGUUGGGGAACUUGAUUCCUUAGUAACGAAGCUAACGCGUGAAGUUGACCGCCUGGGGAGUACGGCCGCAAGGUUAAAACUCAAAUGAAUUGACGG
rnacentral:rRNA from 1 species